rnacentral:rRNA from 1 species
GAUGAACGCUGGCGGCGUGCCUAAUACAUGCAAGUCGAGCGAACAGACGAGGAGCUUGCUCCUCUGACGUUAGCGGCGGACGGGUGAGUAACACGUGGAUAACCUACCUAUAAGACUGGGAUAACUUCGGGAAACCGGAGCUAAUACCGGAUAAUAUAUUGAACCGCAUGGUUCAAUAGUGAAAGACGGUUUUGCUGUCACUUAUAGAUGGAUCCGCGCCGCAUUAGCUAGUUGGUAAGGUAACGGCUUACCAAGGCAACGAUGCGUAGCCGACCUGAGAGGGUGGUCGGCCACCCUGGAACUGAGGAACGGUCCAGACUCCUACGGGAGGCAGCAGUAGGGAAUCUUCCGCAAUGGGCGAAAGCCUGACGGAGCAACGCCGCGUGAGUGAUGAAGGUCUUCGGAUCGUAAAACUCUGUUAUUAGGGAAGAACAAAUGUGUAAGUAACUAUGCACGUCUUGACGGUACCUAAUCAGAAAGCCACGGCUAACUACGUG